AGAGUUUGAUCCUGGCUCAGGAUGAACGCUGGCGGCGUGCCUAAUACAUGCAAGUCGAGCGAACGGACGAGAAGCUUGCUUCUCUGAUGUUAGCGGCGGACGGGUGAGUAACACGUGGAUAACCUACCUAUAAGACUGGGAUAACUUCGGGAAACCGGAGCUAAUACCGGAUAAUAUUUUGAACCGCAUGGUUCAAAAGUGAAAGACGGUCUUGCUGUCACUUAUAGAUGGAUCCGCGCUGCAUUAGCUAGUUGGUAAGGUAACGGCUUACCAAGGCAACGAUGCAUAGCCGACCUGAGAGGGUGAUCGGCCACACUGGAACUGAGACACGGUCCAGACUCCUACGGGAGGCAGCAGUAGGGAAUCUUCCGCAAUGGGCGAAAGCCUGACGGAGCAACGCCGCGUGAGUGAUGAAGGUCUUCGGAUCGUAAAACUCUGUUAUUAGGGAAGAACAUAUGUGUAAGUAACUGUGCACAUCUUGACGGUACCUAAUCAGAAAGCCACGGCUAACUACGUGCCAGCAGCCGCGGUAAUACGUAGGUGGCAAGCGUUAUCCGGAAUUAUUGGGCGUAAAGCGCGCGUAGGCGGUUUUUUAAGUCUGAUGUGAAAGCCCACGGCUCAACCGUGGAGGGUCAUUGGAAACUGGAAAACUUGAGUGCAGAAGAGGAAAGUGGAAUUCCAUGUGUAGCGGUGAAAUGCGCAGAGAUAUGGAGGAACACCAGUGGCGAAGGCGACUUUCUGGUCUGUAACUGACGCUGAUGUGCGAAAGCGUGGGGAUCAAACAGGAUUAGAUACCCUGGUAGUCCACGCCGUAAACGAUGAGUGCUAAGUGUUAGGGGGUUUCCGCCCCUUAGUGCUGCAGCUAACGCAUUAAGCACUCCGCCUGGGGAGUACGACCGCAAGGUUGAAACUCAAAGGAAUUGACGGGGACCCGCACAAGCGGUGGAGCAUGUGGUUUAAUUCGAAGCAACGCGAAGAACCUUACCAAAUCUUGACAUCCUUUGACAACUCUAGAGAUAGAGCCUUCCCCUUCGGGGGACAAAGUGACAGGUGGUGCAUGGUUGUCGUCAGCUCGUGUCGUGAGAUGUUGGGUUAAGUCCCGCAACGAGCGCAACCCUUAAGCUUAGUUGCUAUCAUUAAGUUGGGCACUCUAAGUUGACUGCCGGUGACAAACCGGAGGAAGGUGGGGAUGACGUCAAAUCAUCAUGCCCCUUAUGAUUUGGGCUACACACGUGCUACAAUGGACAAUACAAAGGGCAGCGAAACCGCGAGGUCAAGCAAAUCCCAUAAAGUUGUUCUCAGUUCGGAUUGUAGUCUGCAACUCGACUACAUGAAGCUGGAAUCGCUAGUAAUCGUAGAUCAGCAUGCUACGGUGAAUACGUUCCCGGGUCUUGUACACACCGCCCGUCACACCACGAGAGUUUGUAACACCCGAAGCCGGUGGAGUAACCUUUUAGGAGCUAGCCGUCGAAGGUGGGACAAAUGAUUGGGGUGAAGUCGUAACAAGGUAGCCGUAUCGGAAGGUGCGGCUGGAUCACCU
rnacentral:rRNA from 1 species